rnacentral:lncRNA from 1 species
UUAGGAGACAUUGAUACUAAAAAAUGAAAAUAUGUUUUGAAAGAAAGUAAAUUUGUGUGAAAAGCAAAGUUCGAAGAAAAACUUGCCUCAUCAAAGUCAGAGUCAAGGUAAUCCGUUUCCAUUACGCGUGAGAAGUCUUUCUCUGUGUAUUUUCUUUUUUUUGAACAGCCUUCUUCCUCUGUGUAUUGUGUUUAUUUAUCAUCAAUCAAAUAAUAAAUGCAUAGUUGCAUACAUUAAACAAACAGCAAGAAAGAAGAACCAAUAAAUAAAAAGUGAUCGAUGAUUUGAGUUACCUAGUGACUGCAUUUGCACUGGUGAUUUCACCGAGAGACCCAUCUUCUAGCCGGCAAGGUUAUUUCAACUGAUGAUGAUGAUAAUUAGUAAUAUAGGAAUAUGUAUCUAUGUAUGUAUUCACGAAACCCUAAGUUAUUACAAACAAACCUAAUAACAAACAAACACUUUGGUUAUCUAUGUUAG